ensembl:lncRNA
GGUAGAAUAGGUUCAGUCAGUCCAGAGGUGGUAGAAUAGGUUCAGUCAGUCCAGAGGUGGUAGAAUGGGUUCAGUCAGUCCAGAGGUGGUAGAAUAGGUUCAGUCAGACCAGAGGUGGUAGAAUAGGUUCAGUCAGUCAUUCCAGAGGUGGUAGAAUAGGUUCAGUCAGUCCAGAGGUGGUAGAAUAGGUUCAGUCAGUCCAGAGGUGGUAGAAUAGGUUCAGUCAGUCCAGAGGUGGUAGAAUAGGUUCAGUCAGUCCAGAGGUGGUAGAGUAGGUUCAGUCAGUCAGUCCAGAGGUGGUAGAGUAGGUUCAGUCAGUAAGUCCAGAGGUGGUAGAAUAGGUUCAGUCAAUCCAGAGGGUAUUAGAAUAGGUUCAGUCAGUCCAGAGGUGGUAGAAUAGGUUCAGUCAGUCCAGAGGUGGUAGAAUAGGUUCAGUCAGUCCAGGAGGUGGUAGAAUAGGUUCAGUCAGUCCAGAGGUGGUAGAAUAGGUUCAGUCAGUCCAGAGGUGGUAGAAUAGGUUCAGUCAGUCCAGAGGUGGUAGAGUAGGUUCAGUCAGUCAGUCCAGAGGUGGUAGAAUAGGUUCUGUCAGUCCAGAGGUGGUAGAGUAGGUUCAGUCAGUCAGUCCAGAGGUGGUGGAAUAGGUUCAGUCAGUCCAGAGGUGGUAGAUUGGGUUCAGUCAGUCCAGAGGUGGUAGAAUAGGUUCAGUCAGACCAGAGGUGGCAGAAUAGGUUCAGUCAGUCAGUCCAGAGGUGGUAGAAUAGUUUCAGUCAGUCCAGAGGUGGUAGAAUAGGUUCAGUCAGUCCAGAGGUGGUAGAAUAGGUUCAGUCAGUCCAGAGGUGGUAGAGUAGGUUCAGUUAGUCAGUCCAGAGGUGGUAGAAUAGGUUCAGUCAGAACAGAGGUGGUAGAAUAGGUUCAGUCAGUCCAGAGGUGCUAGAAUAGGUUCAGUCAGUCAUUCCAGAGGUGGUAGAAUAGGUUCAGUCAGUCCAGAGGUGGUAGAAUAGGUUCAGUCAGUCCAGAGGUGGUAGAAUAGGUUCAGUCAGUCCAGAGGUGGUAGAGUAGGUUCAGUCAGUCAGUCCUGAGGUGGUGGAAUAGGUUCAGUCAGUCAGUCCAGAGGUGGUAGAAUAGGUUCAGUCAGUCCAGAGGUGGUAGAAUAGGUUCAGUCAGUCCAGAGGUGGUAGAGUAGGUUUUAUCAGUCCAGAGGUGGUAGAUUAGGUUGAGUCAGUCAGUCCAGAGGUGGUAGAAUAGGUUCAGUCAGUCCAGAGGUGGUAGAUUGGGUUCAGUCAGUCCAGAGGUGGUAGAAUAGGUUCAGUCAGUCCAGAGGUGGUAGAAUAGGUUCAGCCAGUCCAGAGGUGGUAGAAUAGGUUCAGUCAGUCCAGAGGUGGUAGAAUAGGUUCAGUCAGUCCAGAGGUGGUAGAAUAGGUUCAGUCAGUCAGUCCAGAGGUGGUAGAAUAGGUUCAGUCAGUCCAGAGGUGGUAGAGUAGGUUUUAUCAGUCCAGAGGUGGUAGAUUAGGUUCAGUCAGUCCAGAGAGGUGGUAGAAUACGUUCAGUCAUUCAUUCCACAGGUGGUAGAAUAGGUUCAGUCAGUCCAGAGGUGGUAGAAUAUGUUCAGUCAGUCCAUAGGUGGUAGAAUUGGUUCAGUCAGUACAGAGGAGGUAGAAUAGGUUCAGUCAGUC